GCAGCAGGCACGCAAAUUACCCACUCCCGGCACGGGGAGGUAGUGACAAAAAAUAACGAUACGGGACUCUUUUAGAGGCCCCGUAAUCGGAAUGAAUACACUUUAAAACCUUGUUUAAAGGUCAAUCGGAGGGAAAGUCUGGUGCCAGCAGCCGCGGUAACUCCAGCUCCGAUAGCGUAUAUUAAAAUUGUUGCGGUUAAAAAGCUCGUAGUUGGUUCUGCGUACCACGCUGUCGGUACACCGCCUGUCGGUGACACUGGCAUGCCGUGGUAUGUCCUGUCGGUGGCGGCCGUCUAAGCCACGCGGACCAAGCGGCGUCCGGGCAAUGCCGAGCCGCCCGCGAGGCCCAAGCGCGGUCGCCGACUCCUAUCCUACCGCGGUGCUCUUAAUUGAGUGUCGAGGUAGGCCGACACGUUUACUUUGAACAAAUUAGAGUGCUUAAAGCAGGCUCAAAUUUCUGCCUGAAUAGUGGUGCAUGGAAUAAUGGAACAGGCCCUUGGUCCUAUUCUGUUGGUCUCCGGGACACAAGGUAAUGAUCAAUAUGGACAGUGCGGGGGCAUUCGUAUUGCGGCGUUAGAGGUGAAAUUCUUGGAUCGUCGCAAGACGCACUAGAGCGAAAGCAUUUGCCAAGUAUGUCUUAAUUGAUCAAGAACGAAAGUUAGAGGUUCGAAGGCGAUCAGAUACCGCCCUAGUUCUAACCAUAAACGAUGCCAGCCAGCGAUCCGCCGAUGUUCCUCCGAUGACUCGGCGGGGAGCUUCCCCCGGGAAACCAAAGCGUUUGGGUUCCGGGGGAAGUAUGGUUGCAAAGCUGAAACUUAAAGGAAUUGACGGAAGGGCACCACCAGGAGUGGAGCCUGCGGCUUAAUUUGACUCAACACGGGAAACCUCACCAGGUCAGGACAUUGGAAUGAUUGACAGAUUGAUAGCUCUUUCUUGAUUCAGUG
rnacentral:rRNA from 1 species